ACAGGAGCAGCACAAUGUACACAAAAUCAUCAUCAUGACCAACUUUGAUCUACACUGGACUACAUGAGCUGCUGCUACAUAAACUAAAGUUUUUACCCCUCAGUCGGCUGAUGUCAUCAUCCCAGUGGGCGUGCGGGCGGUGUGGACAUCCAACUUUACGAAGGUCUCUGUGAUGUCAUUGAGAGUGGACGCUUUUGUAUGAUGAUCCCAGCCACUGUGAGCUCAGAAACCCCGCCCACCUGCACUUCAAACUUUCUAUUUGUGAGGGCAGCUAAUCAGAAUAGUUUGUUUUAGAUCAAGGAUGAAGUGACAGGUUGAGUCA